UGCCUGAGUAUCAGUCCGGAUUCCGGAGAU
rnacentral:piRNA from 1 species